GUUUGAUUAGACUAUGAAAAAUUCCCCAAAUUGUCGCAGGCGAACUUGUGGGUCGCGAUGCGACUGUCGAUAGUCAAUGGCCUUCAGCAGUCCGCCUCGCCGCGAAAUUUUAUGGCUGAAGCAGGAUGGAACCGGCUGUUGAGUGUGCUGCGAUUGCUAAGUGGCCAAAGAAUAAUGCUGUCCGAAUAGUCAACCACAACAACUGCUGAGAGCACGCAUGCCCUCGAUUAUAAUAACAAGGUGUUCAGAAUAGUAAUCAACAAUCCAAUGGGGGCAUCUUAUCCUCACCCAACUUUAGAUGACUUUUGUCAAAGAACUCUUCGAGGAAGCAUCCAAGGUCCUCUAUCGCAACUUUACCUUCUUAUCAUUGCUGGAUCGACUGUGCACCUUUGUGAUCGACAAGCAAGCCUUAGCAUCCAUUUCUCAGGCAUGGCCGGCUGCAACUUUUUAUCUCAUGCAAGCUCAAAGCUUGACGGCCCCUUUCGGCCAUGACUCGGUUUAAUUUGUCUUCUUCGCCACUGCAUCACUAUAAGAGUGUCAUGAGAGUGUGACUGUUUCCUAUAACAUGGAUGACAAGGACGAGGGGGGCAAGGCAGCCUGCGGUGGCGACGGCGAAGCUGCUGCCACCGCCGUCGCCGCUCGUCAUCAAUUCUCCGCCUUGGUGGCUCACCGCGCUCUAUUCGGAGCCCGCCGUCGGCGGGCGGCGGGUCGGAAGGCCGGCGCCGGAGACAAGCCGGUGCAAAGCAGGCUGAGCAAGGUCUCCGACGCAGCCAAGGAUGCCAAAUGAGUGACCGGACGUUAGACGUAAUGUUUUGUAAGGCUUAGUUUCGCUUUCAUGAAGCCUGAAGCCUAAAGAUUAGGCAGCACGACCUGGUAAUUAAAUAUGUUUGAAUUAAAACAAGAGGCAAUACUGUGCGGGGAGACUUGUCUUCUCGACCUUCACGCUAUCGCGACUUGGGAUUGGAUGUUUUUCUUCUUCUUCUCUCUCUCGUUUACCUCUUUAUUUCCACUCGCUGCCAGUAACUUUGAAACUUGUUCAGCUCUGCCUUCUUGUCAAAUCCAGUCAUUGCACUUACGCUUCCAC